AGCGAACGCUGGCGGCAGGCUUAACACAUGCAAGUCGAGCGGGCGUAGCAAUACGUCAGCGGCAGACGGGUGAGUAACGCGUGGGAACGUACCUUUUGGUUCGGAACAACUGAGGGAAACUUCAGCUAAUACCGGAUAAGCCCUAACGGGGAAAGAUUUAUCGCCGAAAGAUCGGCCCGCGUCUGAUUAGCUAGUUGGUGAGGUAACGGCUCACCAAGGCGACGAUCAGUAGCUGGUCUGAGAGGAUGAUCAGCCACACUGGGACUGAGACACGGCCCAGACUCCUACGGGAGGCAGCAGUGGGGAAUAUUGGACAAUGGGGGCAACCCUGAUCCAGCCAUGCCGCGUGAGUGAUGAAGGCCCUAGGGUUGUAAAGCUCUUUUGUGCGGGAAGAUAAUGACGGUACCGCAAGAAUAAGCCCCGGCUAACUUCGUGCCAGCAGCCGCGGUAAUACGAAGGGGGCUAGCGUUGCUCGGAAUCACUGGGCGUAAAGGGUGCGUAGGCGGGUCUUUAAGUCAGAGGUGAAAUCCUGG
rnacentral:rRNA from 1 species